rnacentral:rRNA from 1 species
CCCUUAGAUGUCCUGGGCCGCACGCGCGCUACAAUGAUGCAACCAACGAGUGCUGCUCCUUGGCCGAGAGGCCCGGGGAACCUUGCAAACUGCAUCGUGCUGGGGAUAGAUGAUUGCAAUUCUUCAUCUUGAACGAGGAAUGCCUUGUAAGCGUGAGUCAUCAACUCGCGCUGAAUACGUCCCUGCCCUUUGUACACACCGCCCGUCGCUCCUACCGAUCGAAGAGUUAGGUGAAUUGUUUUGAUCGAUAAGAUUUGACUAUGGUCAACUCUCGUUGUGAAAUUCUGUGAAUCUGACUGUUUAGAGGAAGGAAAAGUCGUAACA